GACGAACGCUGGCGGCGUGCUUAACACAUGCAAGUCGAACGGAAAGGCCCUUAUAGGGGUCUCUGAGUGGCGAACGGGUGCGUAAGACGGAGGUAAACAUCCCUCGCUUUCGUGUUAUCUUCAGUAAAGUAGGGCUAAUUCCGCUAAUAAAUCAUUCCUGCAUGGGGGGGGUUGGAAAGAUUUUGGGGCUUUGGGUGGACUGGCGGGGUAUUAGCUUGUUGGUGGGGUGGUGGGUUACCAACGCAUUGACGGGUAGCCGGACAGUGGGGGCGAGCGGCCGCAUUGGGACUGAGGGACGGCCCAGGCGCCUACGGGAGGCAGCAGGGGGGAAGAUUGCACAAGGGGCGGCAGCCGGGUGCAGCAACGCCGCGGGCGGGAAGGCGGCCUUCGGGUUGAAAACCGGUUUCAGCAGGGGAGAAGGUUGUGGUGACGGUACCUGCAGAAGAAGCACCGGCUAACUACGUG
rnacentral:rRNA from 1 species